rnacentral:rRNA from 1 species
CCUACGGGAGGCAGCAGUGAGGAAUAUUGGUCAAUGGACGAGAGUCUGAACCAGCCAAGUAGCGUGAAGGAUGACUGCCCUAUGGGUUGUAAACUUCUUUUAUAUGGGAAUAAAACGCUCCACGUGUGUGAUUUUGUAUGUACCAUAUGAAUAAGGAUCGGCUAACUCCGUGCCAGCAGCCGCGGUAAUACGGAGGAUCCGAGCGUUAUCCGGAUUUAUUGGGUUUAAAGGGAGCGUAGGUGGAUUGUUAAGUCAGUUGUGAAAGUUUGCGGCUCAACCGUAAAAUUGCAGUUGAAACUGGCAGUCUUGAGUACAGUAGAGGUAGGCGGAAUUCGUGGUGUAGCGGUGAAAUGCUUAGAUAUCACGAAGAACUCCGAUUGCGAAGGCAGUUCACUGGACUGCAACUGACACUGAGGCUCGAAAGUGUGGGUAUCAAACAGGAUUAGAUACCCCUGUAGUC